UAAUGACUUAACAAGGUCCUGAGUCAAAAACUUUUGUUAAGAAGACCUGUUCACUAAUCUAUGCACUACCAACUAUGUCUCCCACAAACAAAAUAAAGGAAGAGGUAAAUUUUUUCAUGAAAAGUGUAUCAUUAAUUUGACUUUUAUUGACUCUUGCAGACAUAUAUUCAUUUGUACAAACAAAGGAAAACCCAGGAGCAAAUGAGGAUGCAAGUUAUGGUACCGCCUGAUGGAAUAUACCCCCCUGAUUAUGGUUUAGGUGCACAGCGUUACAGGGGGGACACAUUUCCACCUGGUAUAAUAGGUGGGCACAGAGAUCUUUUUCCAAAUCUGCCAUUUAUGCCUGGCGGCAUUAAUCCAACACCUGGCAUCUCCCCAGGGACUGGUUUGCCACGACCUCGAUUUGACCCUUUUGGACCCUUACCAGACAUAAAUCAGAAUCCUGGGCCAUCACGACGAGGGAGACAUCCAGAUCGACACUUUAAUCCUUCAAGAGGCUUCCCUCCUGGAUUCUUGUAGAGUGACACUUUUGAGUGCAUUCUCUU